rnacentral:sRNA from 1 species
GUCGAUGUGGAGUGCGCCGAACGCGCAU